AUGGAGGACUAUUAUGGUAUAUUGCAAUUAUCAAGGUAUAUUUUUGUCGCUCACUUCCGUUCUUUGGAUGCUGUUAUGUUUGUAAUUACUCCUCAGCCUUGGAGCAUGGGUUCGGAUAACUUUCUGCUUAAAUUAUGGGUACUGCUAUUAUUAAGGCACCGCUUUGACUUUCUGCUUGAAUAUACCUUGAUAAUAGCUGUACCCACAAUUCAAAGAUAUAUAUGUGUGUGCUCUCAGUUGGCACCUCGCUGCUACGACCAGUUACUUGAGAUUGCAGAAGCCAGCGCCAGCCCGGAUGGUCACCUCGAUGUACCCAUAAUUCAAAGGUAUAUUCAAGCAGAAAGUCAAAGUGGUGCCUUUAUGGGUACAGUGCUGCUGCCAAUCACAGUUAAUCCAGAGACAGCCGUUGUUCGGAGCGACAACACGAGAGUAGCACAAGUUGAAACAUUGCAGGCUCUAGGACAGUAG
rnacentral:rRNA from 1 species